CUCACCUUCAGAGCAAAUAUCGUGCCCUCAUAUUUUUUGUUCGUAGGAAAUAUUAUAGGGUACCUGGCUUUUUAUGGUAUUGAACUUCUACGUCUUUCUUCAGAUUUAUCAUUUGGAAGACAAAGAGAUGACUUUACAUCAGAGAUGUCUGCAGCUGCCAGAAGAGGCCCAAUGCAAGUUGUAGAUUGUUGUUUUCUUUUUGAGCAUGUGAGCAAGCAGUAAGGAUUAAGGAAAGGAUGAAAAAACAUCCUCCUGAAGCAGAAAUGAAUAUUUAGAAAUUUAAGUGUCAGACCAAAGUCAUUUGCCAGUACUUAUGCAUUCAGUUCAUGAAGCCUGGUAACUGUGAAGUGAGUACUUGACAAAAAGAA
ensembl:lncRNA